UGUUUUUAUUCUUUCGGUGUCAUUAUUCGACACGCUUGUUGUUGAGGCGCGUUCUCAAUCUGCUGAGGCGUGGGGGAAAUAUUUCUGGAGUGGAAAUAAGUUAGGACACGUUGUUACGCUGCUGCAUAUUUGUGCAUGUGAGCGGUUUUUAUUGCUUCUCAGAAGCAAAACAAGGAACAGCUGAUUGGUUGUGACGGCUGUUGGGCAACAAGCAGCCACUGCUGAGAUUUAACGGGUGCAAAAAAAUUAUUAUUCUAUCUAUUGGUUCUUCUUGAUCUGCAAGUGAGCUAGAUUGGAUCUUUCUUCAAAAAACUGUGUCUUUGUCAAACAUGUGAAAGAAACAUUCAGUCUAAGACGCGAUGCACCGUCUUAAGCGUUUUUUUGAGAGGCUGAGGCCCCAUGGAGUCGUGUAGUCAUGGAGAGAGAGGUGUCGCCUUACCAAAGUUAUAUUUUUACACCAUGUUGUUACACAGACUGCUUCAGCCUGGCGUCCGCUUCCCUCCCCAAAACUCCUAGGGCAGGGGCGAUUUCCUAAGAGGUGUGCGUCGCACACCGCGUUCAUGUGGUGCUUCUGGCGUCACAAGAAACUGAAAACCUUUUGUUAUGAUCUUGUCAUCUGAGUCAGUGUCACUCGUGAGUUCUGGCUCACCGUCAUGGAAAGCGCAGCGAAACCACCGUCACAAGCCAUUCGUAGAUGACUGUCUUACACGAGAGCUGUUGAUAGAAGGAGUGGGAUGGCGGAGAAGUAAUGUAAUGUGUGUACCUCCAUAUCCCUCCUCACAGGCCAGGAUGAUCCAGGUGACCGCCAGUGCCCAGAGUGGUCGGUGCAGCCCCUGAUAGAGGGCAUGCGGCGCAGACGGAUAGUCUGGGGUCUCCCUGAGGACGUAGGGCAAUCCGACCAAAGCCGCCAUGAGGGACAGGCAGCAGAACCAACCAAGCGCCGCCUGCCACUGCACCAGCCGCGAAAAGGAAGAACGAGCGCGAACUGAGGGCACAUGGGUUCCUCCGCCUGGUCUCUAUAUCUUCCUUCCAUCCCACCUCCAGCCUUUCCCUCCCCUUUACCUGGUCAAAAUGAACUUCUUUGUACAUACUCAGGUGUCUUCUCAGUGGAUUCUUUCUGUCA